GAAAAGAACUUUGGAGAGAGAGUUAAAAAGUACGUGAAACCGUAUAGGGGUUAAACCCGUUGAAUCUAAAUAUCCGAUCGAUGAAAUUCAGUACUGUACUAAUCAUACAGUAUGCACUUUUCAUCUAGUAGGACACUGCAAUCCGUUAGAUUAAAUAUAAUCAUUUUAUGUAUUAUAUUUCGAAUCUAUCAAUGAAAUUCGCAUAGAUUGUUUAUCUGAUAUGAUACUAAUCCUAUCAUUCGAUAAGUCUAUAAUUGAAUUUCGAUAGUAUUAGACUGACGGCUCUUUAAAACAAUCAUAAGCAUACAUAUGCAAUUAUAUUUAUAUAAUUACUAUGUAUUUGAUUGGCAGUGCACUUGAAGAUUUAGAUACCUUCGGGACCCGUCUUGAAACACGGA
rnacentral:rRNA from 1 species